rnacentral:rRNA from 1 species
AUUGAACGCUGGCGGCAUGCUUUACGCAUGCAAGUCGAACGGUAACAGGCCUUCGGGUGCUGACGAGUGGCGAACGGGUGAGUAAUGCAUCGGAACGUGCCCAGAGGUGGGGGAUAACGCAGCGAAAGCUGUGCUAAUACCGCAUGUGAUCUGAGGAUGAAAGCGGGGGACCACGCAGCAAUGUUUGGCCUCGCGCCUCUGGAGCGGCCGAUGUCAGAUUAGGUAGUUGGUGGGGUAAAGGCCUACCAAGCCGACGAUCUGUAGCUGGUCUGAGAGGACGACCAGCCACACUGGGACUGAGACACGGCCCAGACUCCUACGGGAGGCAGCAGUGGGGAAUGUUGGACAAUGGGCGCAAGCCUGAUCCAGCAAUGCCGCGUGCGGGAAGAAGGCCUUCGGGUUGUAAACCGCUUUUGUACGGAACGAAAAGGCUCUGGCUAAUACCUGGGGCUGAUGACGGUACCAUAAGAAUAAGCACCGGCUAACUACGUG